rnacentral:tRNA from 1 species
AGGGGUGUAGCUCAGUUAGGGAGAGCAGCGGUCUCCAAAACCGCAGGCCGGGGGUUCGAGUCCUCCCACCCCUGCCA